rnacentral:lncRNA from 1 species
AUUAGGUCAUAUUCUUCCCAGUCUAUCUUUGACAAGCAAUCUCCUACUGUGAUGGUUGUUGAUGCCGUUUCACCCCAGGAUUCUCCCAAGGUAGAGGUUGCUAAGCACUGAGAAUUGUUUGUUGGUGGUCAUAGAAUCUUCUCUUCUGGAGGGGAAAGGAGCUGCCUUUUAAAUAUGAGGAUUAUUUGGUUCCUCCGGGCUGCGUUAACUGUUGCCCUGCUGAAGGCGAGUGGAUGGAUUCGAAGUGAGAGAGGAAGUCCCAAGCUGAUGAACCGUGGUCCUGGAAGAGCCAAUAACGUCACGUCCGCACAACAUUUGCCCAUAUUAGAGAACUUGAAAAAUAGGAAAAAGCACAAGGAAGAAAACAAAACCACACAACUCAAAUAAAAUGAAGAUCCUUUACUAAAUAGAUCCUUUCCACACUGUGUGGCUGUGGGAUGGAAUAGAAUGAAAUGGAAUGCCACUGGGAGAGUAAAACCAAAUGAACAGACAACGUCUACUAUAAAAGCCAGGUGAGAAAGUAUGCACGUGCACCCCCACAUAUGAGUGG